UACGAAGGGGGCUAGCGUUGUUCGGAAUUACUGGGCGUAAAGCGUGCGCAGGCGGUUUUGCAAGCCGGAUGUGAAAUCCCCGGGCUCAACCUGGGAAUGGCAUUCGGGACUGCAAGGCUGGAGUGCGGCAGAGGAGACUGGAAUUCCUGGUGUAGCAGUGAAAUGCGUAGAUAUCAGGAGGAAUACCGAUGGCGAAGGCAGGUCUCUGGGCUGACACUGACGCUCAUGCACGAAAGCGUGGGGAGCAAACAGG
rnacentral:rRNA from 1 species